ACGCCAGUAGUUCAAUUGAAUAGAAUAUCUGACUACGGAUCAGAAGGUUGUGGGUUUGAGUCCUGCCUGGCGUA
rnacentral:tRNA from 1 species